CACAGCCAAGGAGGAAGGCCGGCGGGCCUGACCUGGGAAUGGAGGCACAACUUGCUGCAGGUCUCAGUAGGGAAGUCAGGACUGAGGGGGCCACAGGUACCCAGGAACAGGUGGGGCCUGGAGGCUGUGCUGAGCGCGUCCCUGCAAACGGCGUGAAAGGGAACACACCUGAGCGCGAAUCUGGGCUGAACUCUUCACCUCGCCACCUUUACAUCGCAUGCACCACAUUUCCAAGGUCACUCUGCAGCGGCAGCCAUCAGGCUGACGGGGGGUGCAUAACCUAAGGCAGCAGUUCUCGCCAGGGGCCCUCAACAAGCAGCAGCAGCAGCGUUGCUGGAACUUCUUAGAAAUGCAGCCCUUUAGGUCCUGCAUGAAAUCAUCAGCCUGUGCCUGUGUCUGAGCAGCCCUUGGCUAGCUCAAGGAAGG
rnacentral:lncRNA from 1 species